rnacentral:piRNA from 1 species
UGAGAGGAUAAACUCUGUCUCAGGCCAUG